UACGAAGGGGCUAGCGUUGCUCGGAAUCACUGGGCGUAAAGCGCACGUAGGCGGAUUGCUAAGUCAGGGGUGAAAUCCUGGAGCUCAACUCCAGAACUGCCUUUGAUACUGGCGAUCUCGAGUCCGGGAGAGGUGAGUGGAACUGCGAGUGUAGAGGUGAAAUUCGUAGAUAUUCGCAAGAACACCAGUGGCGAAGGCGGCUCACUGGCCCGGUACUGACGCUGAGGUGCGAAAGCGUGGGAGCAAC
rnacentral:rRNA from 1 species